rnacentral:rRNA from 1 species
GACGAACGCUGGCGGCGUGCUUAACACAUGCAAGUCGAACGCUGAAGCUCAGCUUGCUGGGUGGAUGAGUGGCGAACGGGUGAGUAACACGUGAGUAACCUGCCCUCUUCUUUGGGAUAACGCCCGGAAACGGGUGCUAAUACUGGAUAUUCACUGAUUCUCGCAUGGGGGUUGGUGGAAAGGUUUUUUCUGGUGGGGGAUGGGCUCGCGGCCUAUCAGCUUGUUGGUGGGGUGAUGGCCUACCAAGGCUUUGACGGGUAGCCGGCCUGAGAGGGUGACCGGGCACAUUGGGACUGAGAUACGGCCCAGACUCCUACGGGAGGCAGCAGUGGGGAAUAUUGCACAAUGGGCGAAAGCCUGAUGCAGCGACGCCGCGUGAGGGAUGGAGGCCUUCGGGUUGUAAACCUCUUUCGCUCAUGGUCAAGCCGCAGCGUGGGGUUGUGGUGAGGGUAGUGGGUAAAGAAGCGCCGGCUAACUACGUG